UCUCAAUCCACAUGAGUUGUUCUAUCUGCCAUUAAAGAGCAGUAUUAUUACCACAUUAGCUUUCACCAGCUGAAACCAAUGGUUUUGUGAAUUACUUUCCAGAGAAGGUUUAUUUUUGUGUUUCUCAGAGAAAGAAUUGGAUGCUUGGGAAAGCUCUGAACAAGAACAGUAUGAGGACGACUGGGAUUCCUUAUAUAAUUAACCAAGGAUUGUAAAAACGGGGA
rnacentral:lncRNA from 11 species